CGCUGUCUUUAUUUUGAAACUGUUUUCAAAUCGAGAAUUUCGAGGCCUGAAUGCAAGAACCGUUUUGAGCAUACUGGCCUCCAAAUUUUCGCUUUGAAUUUUAGUUACGCGUG
rnacentral:pre_miRNA from 18 species